AUGCAAUAUAGAAAUACUCAAAGAAACUCUGCCAAUUUUCACUCUUCAACAAUUUAAGUUUUGGAUCUAUAGUUCUUUGACAAAAUUAUCUUCUUAUUUUUUCAAUUCCUUUAUUUCUCAUCCCGUAAUUUUUACUCGUUUAACGUGGUGAUCGUCAGUGUUUUUCAGAGAAAUUUGGAUGUCUGAAAUUCACGCCGAAUUCCUCAUAUUCUUCGGUAUUUCUUUCAGUGUUCACAAGGGGAUUGCAGCCGAUGGCGUUCUAAAGGGAUAUGUUGGCACUGACGGCAGCGACGUACGUUAAGUUGCAACGAUAUACAACGGGGGUUUUCUUGAGUCUUUUGUCGCGACCGUCGUGGGCAACAGAGAUUUGUUCGGCGAUGCAUUCAUGAUCGAGGGAUUUGGAUUAUGUCUGUGGUGGCCCCUCUUUGGUUUAAUUGUCUCUUUUAACUCUUUAUUUGGAACUUCAAUUUGUCCUUACCUUCUCUGCUCAGUCAAAUGUCAAAUGAAUUCAAGACUUGGACAUUAGAAAA